AGUGAACGCUGGCGGCGUGCUUAACACAUGCAAGUCGAACGAGAACGGAUAUAGCUUGCUAUAAUUGUCAGCUAAGUGGCGCACGGGUGAGUAAUGUAUAGGUAAUAUGCCUCUUACUAAGGGAUAACAAAUGGAAACGUUUGCUAAUACCCUAUACUCCUUAUUAACAGAAGUUAAUAAGGGAAAGAUUUAUUGGUAAGAGAUUAGCCUGUAUUGUAUCAGUUAGUUGGUGGGGUAAUGGCUUACCAAGACUAUGACACAUAACUGGUUUGAGAGGAUGAUCAGUCACACUGGAACUGAGACACGGUCCAGACUCCUACGGGAGGCAGCAGUGGGGAAUAUUGCACAAUGGACGAAAGUCUGAUGCAGCAACGCCGCGUGGAGGAUGACACAUUUCGGUGCGUAAACUCCUUUUAUAUGAGAAGAUAAUGACGGUAUUAUAUGAAUAAGCACCGGCUAACUCCGUGCCAGCCGCCGCCGUAA
rnacentral:rRNA from 1 species